CGUAACGGAGAGGCCCACAUCCUCCACGAGGGCUAUGCUCAUUGAUCUUUACACCCAUUUGAUGAUCACUUGAUUUUCUGCAUGGAUCGUCCUCCUCCCUAGAUGAUUUCUUGCAUCCGUUGUUGCUAACCUUCUUCUCUGAGCCCAUCUGCUCCAAUUUCGACUCCGACAGACUUGUCCCAGAAGCAAGGGUCACCUUCUGCCGCAGAAAGGUCUGUUUCAAUUAAACAGCAGACAAAAGAACAAUGCUGUUAAGCAGAGUAUGGUAGGAAGAAGCUCAAAUCCUGUUCACUUAAAGACUAAAAGAAGAUAAUAUAGAAGCCAUCGUACCUUGGUACCGGUUGGCAUA
rnacentral:lncRNA from 1 species